AGAGUUUGAUCCUGGCUCAGAGCGAACGCUGGCGGCAGGCCUAACACAUGCAAGUCGAACGAACUCUUCGGAGUUAGUGGCGGACGGGUGAGUAACACGUGGGAACGUGCCUUUAGGUUCGGAAUAACUCAGGGAAACUUGUGCUAAUACCGAAUGUGCCCUUCGGGGGAAAGAUUUAUCGCCUUUAGAGCGGCCCGCGUCUGAUUAGCUUGUUGGUGGGGUAAUGGCCCACCAAGGCUACGAUCAGUAGCUGGUCUGAGAGGAUGACCAGCCACAUUGGGACUGAGACACGGCCCAAACUCCUACGGGAGGCAGCAGUGGGGAAUCUUGCGCAAUGGGCGAGAGCCUGACGCAGCCAUGCCGCGUGUAUGAUGAAGGUCUUAGGAUUGUAAAAUACUUUCACCGGUGAAGAUAAUGACUGUAGCCG
rnacentral:rRNA from 1 species